GCCCGGUUAGCUCAGAUGGUAGAGCAUCAGACUUUUAAUCUGAGGGUCAUGGAUUCGAGCCCCAUAUCGGGCG
rfam:Nematostella vectensis strain CH2 x CH6 NEMVEscaffold_231_Cont19844, whole genome shotgun sequence.